GCUCUGUUGUUAGGGAAGAACAAGUGCAAGAGUAACUGCUUGCACCUUGACGGUACCUAACCAGAAAGCCACGGCUAACUACGUGCCAGCAGCCGCGGUAAUACGUAGGUGGCAAGCGUUGUCCGGAAUUAUUGGGCGUAAAGGGCUCGCAGGCGGUUUCUUAAGUCUGAUGUGAAAGCCCCCGGCUCAACCGGGGAGGGUCAUUGGAAACUGGGAAACUUGAGUGCAGAAGAGGAGAGUGGAAUUCCACGUGUAGCGGUGAAAUGCGUAGAGAUGUGGAGGAACACCAGUGGCGAAGGCGACUCUCUGGUCUGUAACUGACGCUGAGGAGCGAAAGCGUGGGGAGCGAACAGGAUUAGAUACCCUGGUAGUCCACGCCGUAAACGA
rnacentral:rRNA from 1 species